rnacentral:rRNA from 1 species
GAUGAACGCUGGCGGCGUGCCUAAUACAUGCAAGUAGAACGCUGAAGGAGGAGCUUGCUUCUCUGGAUGAGUUGCGAACGGGUGAGUAACGCGUAGGUAACCUGCCUGGUAGCGGGGGAUAACUAUUGGAAACGAUAGCUAAUACCGCAUAAGAGCAGUUGUUGCAUGACAGCUGUUUAAAAGGUGCAAUUGCACCACUACCAGAUGGACCUGCGUUGUAUUAGCUAGUUGGUGAGGUAACGGCUCACCAAGGCGACGAUACAUAGCCGACCUGAGAGGGUGAUCGGCCACACUGGGACUGAGACACGGCCCAGACUCCUACGGGAGGCAGCAGUAGGGAAUCUUCGGCAAUGGGGGCAACCCUGACCGAGCAACGCCGCGUGAGUGAAGAAGGUUUUCGGAUCGUAAAGCUCUGUUGUAAGAGAAGAACAAGUGUGAGAGUGGAAAGUUCACACUGUGACGGUAUCUUACCAGAAAGGGACGGCUAACUACGUGCCAGCAGCCGCGGUAAUACGUAGGUCCCGAGCGUUAUCCGGAUUUAUUGGGCGUAAAGCGAGCGCAGGCGGUUAGAUAAGUCUGAAGUUAUAGGCUGUGGCU